UUUUAGUAAUUUUUGAAAUGAGGAAGUGUGAGACUUCCAACUUCGUUCUUUUUCAAAAUUGUUGUGGCUAUUCGGGGUCCCUUGAAAUUCCAUAUGCAUUUUAAGAUCGAUUUUUCUA